rnacentral:rRNA from 1 species
AGAGUUUGAUCCUGGCUCAGGAUGAACGCUAGCGGGAGGCUUAACACAUGCAAGUCGAGCGGUAGGGCAGCAAUGCCUGAGAGCGGCGCACGGGUGCGUAACGCGUAUGCAACCUGCCUUAUACAGGGGAAUAGCCCAUGGAAACGUGGAUUAAUGUCCCAUAGGAUUACGGAUUCGCAUGGAUUUGUGAUUAAAACUGAGGUGGUAUAAGAUGGGCAUGCGUCUGAUUAGGUAGUUGGUAGGGUAAUGGCCUACCAAGCCGACGAUCAGUAGGGGUUCUGAGAGGAUUACCCCCCACACUGGUACUGAGACACGGACCAGACUCCUACGGGAGGCAGCAGUGAGGAAUAUUGGUCAAUGGCCGGAAGGCUGAACCAGCCAUCCCGCGUGCAGGAUGACGGCCCUAUGGGUUGUAAACUGCUUUUGUACCUGAAGAAACCUGUUUACGAGUAGACAGUUGCCGGUAAGGUAUGAAUAAGCAUCGGCUAACUCCGUGCCAGCAGCCGCGGUAAUACGGAGGAUGCAAGCGUUAUCCGGGUUCAUUGGGUUUAAAGGGUGCGCAGGUGGGAAAAUAAGUCAGUGGUGAAAUACUGCCGCUUAACGGUAGAAUUGCCAUUGAUACUGUUUUUCUUGAGUAUGGUUGAGGUAGGUGGAAUGUGUUGUGUAGCGGUGAAAUGCAUAGAUAUGACACAGAACGCCGAUUGCGAAGGCAGCUUACUAAGCCAUUACUGACGCUGAGGCACGAAAGCGUGGGGAUCAAACAGGAUUAGAUACCCU